rnacentral:rRNA from 1 species
UACGAAGGGGGCUAGCGUUGUUCGGAAUUACUGGGCGUAAAGCGCACGUAGGCGGAUCGUUAAGUUAGAGGUGAAAUCCCAGGGCUCAACUCUGGAACUGCCUUUAAUACUGGCGAUCUUGAGUCCGGGAGAGGUGAGUGGAACUCCUAGUGUAGAGGUGGAAGGCGUAGAUAUGAGGAAGAACACCAGUGGCGAAGGCGGCUCACUGGCUCGGUACUGACGCUGAGGUGCGAAAGCGUGGGGAGCAAACAGG